GCGGAAACGUGGCAGCCGGCAACGGCCGGGAGCGAGGUGCUGCAUGGUUGUCGUCAGCUCGUGCCGUGAGGUGUCGGGUUAAGUCCCAUAACGAGCGCAACCCCUACCGUUAGUUGCCAGCGGGUCAAGCCGGGCACUCUAAGGGAACUGCCGGCGUAAGCCGCGAGGAAGGCGGGGAUGACGUCAAAUCAGCACGGCCCUUACGUCCAGGGCUACACACGUGUUACAAUGGCCGGUACAGACGGACGCAAAGCCGCGAGGUGGAGCAAAUCCUAAAAAGCCGGUCUCAGUUCGGAUUGCAGGCUGCAAUUCGCCUGCAUGAAGUCGGAAUCGCUAGUAAUCGCAGGUCAGCAUACUGCGGUGAAUACGUUCCCGGGCCUU
rnacentral:rRNA from 1 species